GGGCCAGUCGUGGGCCAUCAAGCCACCCACCUGCGUUGCCGAACGCGUAAUGCCUGGUCAGAUCGCUAGCGUGGGCGAAAUCCGCAGCCCUCUCCGGAGCCGGGUGCGCAGGUUCGAAUCCUGCAGGGG
rnacentral:tRNA from 1 species